rnacentral:rRNA from 1 species
UAACUGAAGAGUUUGAUCCUGGCUCAGAUUGAACGCUGGCGGCGUGCCUAACACAUGCAAGUCGAGCGGUAACAGGUGUAGCAAUACAUGCUGACGAGCGGCGAACGGGUGAGUAAUGCUU